rnacentral:rRNA from 1 species
CACGAAGUUAGCCGGAGCUUAUUCUCCCGGUACUGUCAUUAUCAUCCCGGGUAAAAGAGCUUUACAACCCUAAGGCCUUCAUCACUCACGCGGCAUUGCUGGAUCAGGCUUUCGCCCAUUGUCCAAUAUUCCCCACUGCUGCCUCCCGUAGGAGUCUGGGCCGUGUCUCAGUCCCAGUGUGGCUGAUCAUCCUCUCAGACCAGCUAAGGAUCGUCGCCUUGGUGGGCCUUUACCCCACCAACUAGCUAAUCCUACGCGGGCUCAUCCUUGGGCGAUAAAUCUUUGGUCUUACGACAUCAUCCGGUAUUAGCAGUCAUUUCUAACUGUUAUUCCGAACCCAAGGGCAGAUUCCCACGCGUUACGCACCCGUGCGCCACUAAGGCCGAAGCCUUCGUUCGACUUGCAUGUGUUAGGCAUGCCGCCAGCGUUCAUUCUGAGCCAGGAUCAAACUCU